UACGUAGGGUGCAAGCGUUGUCCGGAAUUAUUGGGCGUAAAGAGCUCGUAGGUGGCGGGUCACGUCGGGUGUGAAAGCCCGGGGCUUAACCCCGGGUCUGCAUUCGAUACGGGCAGACUAGAGUUCGGCAGGGGAGAUUGGAAUUCCUGGUGUAGCGGUGGAAUGCGCAGAUAUCAGGAGGAACACCAAUGGCGAAGGCAGAUCUCUGGGCCGUAACUGACGCUGAGGAGCGAAAGCAUGGGGAGCAAACAGG
rnacentral:rRNA from 1 species